UUGGAGAGUAAACACGGUGACCCAUACGCAGUGCACAGAUUGAAGCUGAAGAAACAUUCUAGAUCUCAAAAGGAAAGAAGAGAAAAACAUUGUGAAUUGCAAUUGCCUGGCUAUCCAGAGAGAUAAAAGGCUUGCCCAGCAUUGAACGUUUCAUUUUAUGGCUAGCUUAAAUUCACUCAAUCUGCUUUCCACAACCAAGAGAUGGAAAGAAUAACAUUGCAAGUCUCUGUAAUUUCGUUUCAGAGCAACUAUAAAAUUACAACAAUCAGAGAUGGCAAACCCUCUUGAUAUUUUCAAGUCUUACCCAGUUUGAACGAAAUUCAUAGCUCCUUCUUUGCCAAGGACUAUAACAGCGGGAUUAUCAAUGUGACGCCGGCCUCCAAUCUUCCAGCCACAGGGGCAAGUCCCAUUUCCAGUACCAUUCCACUUACCACACCUCAGGCAUCUCCAGACCAUUGUGCGUGAAGAGGUCGAUAGAAAUCAAAGAAGAUAAUUCAAGAAAAGCGAUUUUAGCUUCAUGUAUGAGGAGCCUUGAAGGGGCGAAGACUGUCCUGUCAAAAAUAGGAGAGUCAUUCGAGCUUUAAAUAUGCG
rnacentral:sRNA from 1 species